rnacentral:misc_RNA from 1 species
GUAGGUGAACCUGCGGAAGGAUCAUUAACACUUUUUAUUCACAAUCACCCUGUCGCACCCCGGCCUAGCGCGCAUCGUCGUGGCGGCUGGAUAACGGAUGAGGAGUAAUGAUCCUCACUGACCUGAGCCUGCACGAGAGAUUGACGGAUGGGCAGAUUCGUUCGUCUUUGUUCUACUUCGGUAGAGACUCUUGUCUUAGCUCAGGUAACAGCAUCUGCCUGCUGGCCCCUUUUAAUUUAACUUUGUCUAUCUUACUGAUUUGGGCUUUAGAUUGAGAGGAGCAAUCCUUUCUCUGAGUCCUGAUGGAGAAAUCCAUUCAAAAACAAAACACAACUCUUAACAGCGGAUAUCUCGGUUCUC